GGGAAGGUGGCUCAGUGGUAGAGUGCUUGCCUUGAAUGCAUGAGGCUCUGGGUUUGAUUCCUCUCACCA
rnacentral:tRNA from 1 species